AUCAAGGCUAUCAACAGUAGUUUAUUAGACCUACAAUCGAUCUUUUGGAGGAUGCAAACUGUUUAAAUGAGAAUUAUUAUAAGAUGCAGGCCUACUAAAUGUCAUGUCACCACUGUGCAUGAGGGUAACGGGUUGGUUUGGGGGGAUUUCGCUCUCUCUGCAUUCCGUUGCUCAUAUCCCUCCCACAGCGGGUCCGGUUUAGGUCUCUGUAGCUCCACCUCCGACGAACUGGCCUCGCCAGAACAGUAGGCUACCGCCGAUUAGCUGGCCGCCCCCCUCCCAAGGAAACACUGGCCAGAAGAGAGGCUCUGCCGCCGUUCAGCUCGUUGUUUAUUCGUCUGGGUUGGGUGAACUGUUGCCGCCAUGGCCGACGAAGGCAUGGAUGAACGGUCUCCGCUGCUCUCAGCACCGAACUCCGGGAAUGUCUCACCGUUGGAACCGCCGGCAUACCUGCAGGACACGAGUCCAAGAGCUGAACUCCCUCCCCCCUACACAGCCAUCGCCAGUCCCGACCCUGGGGGGGUACCCGUCAUCAACUGCCGGGUGUGUCAGUCUCUCAUUAACCUGGAUGGCAAGCUGCAGCAGCACGUGGUGAAGUGCACUGUGUGCAACGAGGCCACGCCCAUCAAAAACCCCCCGACUGGGAAGAAGUAUGUACGCUGUCCCUGUAACUGCCUCCUCAUCUGCAAAGACUCAUCUAGGAGGAUAGGAUGCCCCAGACCCAACUGCAGACGCAUCAUCAACCUGAGCCCGGUGAUGGUGAUUCCAGAGGAGCAGCCGGCCCAGCCAGCCCUGCCAGUCCAGCCUGAGGGCACGAGGGUGGUCUGUGGCCACUGUGGAAACACCUUCCUCGGUAACGAGGACUCUGCCACGGCCCCUUCUGAUCUCCAUGACAACAGCACCUCCACAGACCAGUGGAUGGAGCUCCGAUUUAACACGCUAGCAAAAUGCCCUCACUGCAAAAAAAUAUCGUCUGUGGGUAGUGCUCUUCCAAGGAGGCGUUGUUGUGCCUACAUCACUGUGGGAAUGAUCUGCAUCUUUAUCGGAGUGGGAUUAACAGUGGGGACUCAGGACUUUGCCAGUCGUUACCAUGCCACCUAUGUGUCCUGGGCGUUCUCCUACCUCCUCGGUCUGAUCUGUCUGAUACGAGCUUGUUACUGGGGCGCCAUUAAAGUCAGCUAUCCAGAGAACAGCUUUUCCUAGACAGACAGACCAUCGAAGUCAGCUAUCCAGAGAACAGCUUUUCCUAGACAGACAGACAGACCGUUGUACUGUGUUUCUACCUUUUAAUUGUUUAUGUUGUUAUUAUUCAGAUGAAGACGGAGGUCAGUCUGGUCCAGUCCUGAUCCAGGAGAAAACAGAAUCCAGUCCUGGUUUUGUAAUUAACUCUGAAAACUUUUUUUUUUUUUAUGCAGAUCAGGAAUUGAGAUCUUUAUAAUUGUUUAAUUGGUUUGAUUUAUCAUAUAUAGUGAUGUAAUUAACAUUGAAACUGGACUUUGAUAAAUAUGAUUUUAAUCGGAAGCCGGACAGCUGGGCUGUCUCUCUCCUGGACCAGGUAAAGGAUUUGACUGACUGACAGACAUGGCGUUCCCAACCAGACCAAAUUAAAUUAACAACAAUUUUUACAAUUGCACUACAAUUAUAUUCAAUGAUUCUGUUCAGUUGCUGCUAGUUACCCCAGCUCCAAAAGCUGUCCUCCUCACUCUCUCUCCAUACUGUAUGUAACCCUAGUAACGCCCUGCCGGUAUAAUACACAGUACUGGUCCUGAUGUUUAAUGCUUUUACAUCUUCCUCCUUCAAGCCGUGUGUGCUAACGCUGCUGACCAAGUACAUUUCCCAAGUAACUCUGCCUUCACUAUACUGUUAUCAGGUCCUAGUGUUUUACUCUGCCUUCACUAUACUGUUAUCAGGUCCUAGUGUUUUACCUUCACUAUACUGUUAUCAGGUCCUAGUGUUUUACCUUCACUAUACUGUUAUCAGGUCCUAGUGUUUUUACCUUCUCUAUACUGUUAUCAUGUCCUAGUGUUUCACUCUACCUUCACUAUACUGUUAUCAGGUCCUAGUGUUUCACUCUACCUUCACUAUACUGUUAUCAUGUCCUAGUGUUUCAGUCUACCUUCACUAUACUGUUAUCAUGUCCUAGUGUUUCACUCUACCUUCACUAUACUGUUAUCAUGUCCUAGUGUUUCACUCUGCUUUACCUUCACUAUACUGUUAUCAGGUCCUAGUGUUUCAGUCUACCUUCACUAUACUGUUAUCAGGUCCUAGUGUUUCAGUCUACCUUCACUAUACUGUUAUCAGGUCCUAGUGUUUCAGUCUGCCUUCACUAUACUGUUAUCAUGUCCUAGUGUUUCAGUCUGCCUUCACUAUACUGUUAUCAUGUCCUAGUGUUUCAGUCUGCCUUCACUAUACUGUUAUCAUGUCCUAGUGUUUCAGUCUACCUUCACUAUACUGUUAUCAUGUCCUAGUGUUUCAGUCUACCUUCACUAUACUGUUAUCAGGUCCUAGUGUUUCACUCUACCUUCACUAUACUGUUAUCAGGUCCUAGUGUUUCAGUCUACCUUCACUAUACUGUUAUCAGGUCCUAGUGUUUCACUCUACCUUCAUUAUACUGUUAUCAUGUCCUAGUGUUUCAGUCUACCUUCUCUAUACUGUUAUCAGGUCCUAGUGUUUCACUCUACCUUCACUAUACUGUUAUCAGGUCCUAGUGUUUCAGUCUACCUUCACUAUACUGUUAUCAGGUCCUAGUGUUUCAGUCUACCUUCACUAUACUGUUAUCAGGUCCUAGUGUUUCACUCUACCUUCACUAUACUGUUACUGUCCUAGUGUUUCACUCUGCUUUACCUUCACUAUACUGUUAUCAUGUCCUAGUGUUUCACUCUACCUUCACUAUACUGUUAUCAGGUCCUAGUGUUUCACUCUACCUUCACUAUACUGUUAUCAUGUCCUAGUGUUUCACUCUACCUUCUCUAUACUGUUAUCAUGUCCUAGUGUUUCACUCUACCUUCACUAUACUGUUAUCAGGUCCUAGUGUUUAAGUCUACCUUCACUAUACUGUUAUCAUGUCCUAGUGUUUCACUCUGCUUUACCUUCACUAUACUGUUAUCAUGUCCUAGUGUUUCACUCUACCUUCACUAUACUGUUAUCAUGUCCUAGUGUUUCAGUCUACCUUCACUAUACUGUUAUCAUGUCCUAGUGUUUCAGUCUACCUUCACUAUACUGUUAUCAUGUCCUAGUGUUUCAGUCUGCCUUCACUAUACUGUUAUCAUGUCCUAGUGUUUCACUCUACCUUCACUAUACUGUUAUCAUGUCCUAGUGUUUCAGUCUACCUUCACUAUACUGUUAUCAUGUCCUAGUGUUUCAGUCUACCUUCACUAUACUGUUAUCAUGUCCUAGUGUUUCACUCUACCUUCACUAUACUGUUAUCAGGUCCUAGUGUUUCACUCUACCUUCACUAUACUGUUAUCAUGUCCUAGUGUUUCAGUCUACCUUCACUAUACUGUUAUCAUGUCCUAGUGUUUCAGUCUACCUUCACUAUACUGUUAUCAUGUCCUAGUGUUUCACUCUAACUUCACUAUACUGUUAUCAUGUCCUAGUGUUUCAGUCUACCUUCACUAUACUGUUAUCAUGUCCUAGUGUUUCACUCUACCUUCACUAUACUGUUAUCAGGUCCUAGUGUUUCAGUCUACCUUCACUAUACUGUUAUCAUGUCCUAGUGUUUCAGUCUACCUUCACUAUACUGUUAUCAUGUCCUAGUGUUUCACUCUACCUUCACUAUACUGUUAUCAGGUCCUAGUGUUUCAGUCUACCUUCACUAUACUGUUACUGUCCUAGUGUUUCACUCUACCUUCACUAUACUGUUAUCAUGUCCUAGUGUUCCACUCUACCUUCACUAUACUGUUAUCAUGUCCUAGUGUUUCAGUCUACCUUCACUAUACUGUUAUCAUGUCCUAGUGUUUCACUCUACCUUCACUAUACUGUUAUCAUGUCCUAGUGUUUCACUCUACCUUCACUAUACUGUUAUCAUGUCCUAGUGUUUCACUCUGCUUUACCUUCACUAUACUGUUAUCAUGUCCUAGUGUUUCAGUCUACCUUCACUAUACUGUUAUCAGGUCCUAGUGUUUCACUCUACCUUCUCUAUACUGUUAUCAUGUCCUAGUGUUUCAGUCUACCUUCACUAUACUGUUAUCAGGUCCUAGUGUUUCAGUCUACCUUCACUAUACUGUUAUCAGGUCCUAGUGUUUCACUCUACCUUCACUAUACUGUUAUCAUGUCCUAGUGUUUCACUCUACCUUCACUAUACUGUUAUCAUGUCCUAGUGUUUCACUCUACCUUCACUAUACUGUUAUCAUGUCCUAGUGUUUCACUCUGCUUUACCUUCACUAUACUGUUAUCAUGUCCUAGUGUUUCACUCUACCUUCACUAUACUGUUAUCAUGUCCUAGUGUUUCACUCUACCUUCACUAUACUGUUAUCAUGUCCUAGUGUUUCACUCUACCUUCACUAUACUGUUAUCAUGUCCUAGUGUUCCACUCUACCUUCACUAUACUGUUAUCAUGUCCUAGUGUUUCAGUCUGCCUUCACUAUACUGUUAUCAUGUCCUAGUGUUUCACUCUACCUUCACUAUACUGUUAUCAGGUCCUAGUGUUUCACUCUACCUUCACUAUACUGUUAUCAUGUCCUAGUGUUUCACUCUACCUUCACUAUACUGUUAUCAUGUCCUAGUGUUUCAGUCUGCCUUCACUAUACUGUUACUGUCCUAGUGUUUCACAGCAUACCUCACUACUUCUUCACCAUCGUCAAUAGCCUUCUCAUCAUUGGCUGUUCUCAUCGUGAGAUGUUGUUUUAAACACACUAUACAUGUUCUAGUUUUACAUUAGGUGUCUGAUUCAGAAAGGAAAGGUACUGUUGAAAGAUUCUGGGCCCAAAAACACCCUAAGGAUUUAGUUCAUGGUUAGAACCAUAGGAUGCUUUUGGUAAACCUGGCCCCUUAUCGUUCUCCUUACCUGUCCAGCUCUCUGCUCCUAGAAUGUCGCUGACUUCCUGCUUAUUGCCUGAUUGUUUCCUGAAGCCAGUGAAACCUAGCUAGUGUUGCGGUAUAUAUGCAAUCCUGUCUAGACAAAAUAAUAAAAAUCUCUUUAACUAAUCUUGUUCUGAAUGUGAUGAUGAAACAGAAGUCUCUUCUUGUACAUAGUUAAUUCAGCGCAUUGAAACUGAGGCUUGGAAUAAUAAAACAUUUAAAAAACAUAAUUUAUCAAUAAAAUUAAC